AUUGAACGCUGGCGGCAGGCCUAACACAUGCAAGUCGAACGAGUGGCGGACGGGUGAGUAAUGUCUGGGAAACUGCCUGAUGGAGGGGGAUAACUACUGGAAACGGUAGCUAAUACCGCAUACCAUCGGAUGUGCCCAGAUGGGAUUAGCUAGUUGGUGGGGUAACGGCUCACCUAGGCGACGAUCCCUAGCUGGUCUGAGAGGAUGACAAGCCACACGGGAACGGAGACACGACGCAGACUCCUACGGGAGGCAGCAGUGGGGAGUAGUGAACAAGGGGCGCAAGCCUGAUGCAGAAAUGCCGAGUGUAUUAAGAAGGCCUUCGGGUUGUAAAGUACUUUCAGCGGGGAGGCGUUACCAGAAGAAGAAGCACCGGCUAACUCGGUGCCAGCAGCCGCGGUAAUAC
rnacentral:rRNA from 1 species